rnacentral:lncRNA from 1 species
AAGUAACUCAAUGAAUCAAACUUACACAAACCCCAACAAACACAUAAAAUACCAGAGCAAAACAUUCGCAAGCAACAAGAAAUAAGCAACUAAAACCAAAAGCUGAAAACUAUGUAGACCAUAUAACUCACUCUGACAUAACAAUUCAUGCAGAAAACAGAUUCCUCACAUAAGUAUCCCAGUUAGUAAUUUCCCAACGCAAGAGCAAAAUCCAGAUGCUCCCCGUGAAAUCUAAGAUAUUUAACACUUACUCCACUUCAGUUGCAACUUAAGCAACGAAACAUAUUUAAGUAUCUUACAAAUUCCCAGAUUUAUGUCUAACCCGAGAGUAGUUUCAAAUUAGGGCACCAAUAGCGAUUAAACGCAUUAAUCUAAGCAAAUAAAACAUAGAUACUUCAGAGCAGGAAUGAGCCAUUAAUGAUAAUAAUGAGAGGGAAAAGAGAAAGAGAGAUGGAAAUGCUUACAUGAUCAUGGCCAUGGAUAUCUGUUUGAAAUCAUGUUUUUCUUUUUGUGGGAAAUGGAGAAGAAUUGCCCAAAAAAUUUCUAAAAUUUAAGCGAGAAUCAAGGAAACUUUAGCUUUGCAGUUGAUCGGAGAAGGAGAGAAGAGGGGAUUGACAACUUCUUUUUAGAGGAGAGGGUAUAAGUGGGCUGGAGUUGCGGCGUGGAGGGAUAUGAGAGAAUUUUUUGUUGGAAUUCUGCCUAGCUGCGGCUGCGGCUGCGGUUUAGAGUUGAAAGGAAACAAAGGAAAAAGGAGGAGGAAGAAAUGGAGAGUGGGAGAAAAAGAAAGAAACACGUGUCCAACUCCAUAAAUCUGAUGGCCUUUAAAAAUCACGAGCAACUCACGAGGGCCGACGAAAACCAAAAAGUACUUCAGAGUUAAAGAGCUCUUCGGCUCUUAUUCUGUAUAUGUUGAUAGAUUCUGUUCAAGAUGCAUGGUAGAGGGAAACCAUUUAGGCUUGGUCUUGUGCAAAAAGUUCUUGAAAGGUAAAUGGAACUUCCAAAAAGCUGGAUUUCCUUCUUCCACUAAAAGGAACCCUUCAUCCCAAGUUCCGCGACCGGUUUGUUACUCAUCAGAGAUGUGUAAGGAAUCAACGAUGACUCUUUCAUACUCGUUCGACUCGACCUGAGUCGACUCAGAGAUUCAAAAAAAUCGCCCGCAACCAUCUGAGUCAACCCGCCUCAACUUGGAUCCAAGGAUGCAACAAACUCUCCGGUAUUCUAAAAUCCAAGAAGAGGCAACGAUCAUCAGAAAAUAACAUGUCAAAAACAUUGAAAAUCCAUGGACAGCAAUCAAGAAAAAUACAAUAAUAGAGAUAUAAGGAAAAAAAAUAAAAGGCAUGAGAUGGGUAAAUAAGGAAACCAGGGAGAGGAAAGCGGCGAGGAAAAAGAAACCAAGAAAGUUUGGACAUGAGAAAAAGGGUUCUGGUUAUGGCAAUCAACCCAGAUUUAAAAUAGACGGGAUUGUAACAAGAUUGUAAUAUUAAAAUAAAAGUUAUAAUGAAGACUUACUUGUAUAUAGCAGAAUAUUGUAUAUAGCAUAAUAUUGUUGAAGAUAUCUCGAAACUUGAUAAAACUUCUCAAGAGAUUCUUGUUUAAAGAAAUUUUUACAAGAGAGGUUUUGAGGGUUCUAACAGUACUAGCAUCACACACACCCUUUACAAUACAUAAG